rnacentral:rRNA from 1 species
UACGUAGGGGGCAAGCGUUGUCCGGAAUCAUUGGGCGUAAAGCGCGCGUAGGCGGCCCUGUAAGUCCGUUGUGAAAGUCAAAGGCUCAACCUUUGAAAGCCGAUGGAUACUGCAGGGCUAGAGUCCGGAAGAGGCGAGUGGAAUUCCUGGUGUAGCGGUGGAAUGCGCAGAUAUCAGGAGGAGCACCGAUGGCGAAGGCAGCUCGCUGGGACGGUACUGACGCUGAGGCGCGAAAGCGUGGGGAGCGAACAGG